rnacentral:tRNA from 1 species
GGGGUUGUGGCUUAGUGGUAGAGUGCUCACCUAGCACAUGUGAGGCCCUGGGUUCAAGCCUCAGCACCACA